CUUCCACCUCACUUGAAUCAGAAAAAUGCUGAUCGCCAAACAAUGUUAACGUCAACAUUGAUUCCUCAACCACAUUCAAUGACUCAUGCACCCCUUGAGGAAGAUGUGAACAUGUCAUUUGGAAGCAUGCUGUUACAAGGUCUUGCCUUGAGUGAGAGUGAAGUCGAUCUUGAGACAUGUUGCAGAGCUGCCAGUGUUCUAUCUCAUGUCAUGAAGGACAAUAUCCAGUGCAAAGGUAAAGGUGUUGCAUAUUGAACUUGAGGCACCAACGCCAUCUUUAGGCGCUUCUGAGCCUCUAAUGCAUCGCGUGGUAAAAUACUUGGCCCUUUCCUCUUCCAUGAAAAACAAAGAUGGAAAGUCAAG